UACGAAGGGGGCUAGCGUUGCUCGGAAUCACUGGGCGUAAAGCGCACGUAGGCGGAUUGUUAAGUCAGGGGUGAAAUCCCGGGGCUCAACCCCGGAACUGCCUUUGAUACUGGUAGUCUCGAGUCCGGAAGAGGUGAGUGGAAUUCCGAGUGUAGAGGUGAAAUUCGUAGAUAUUCGGAGGAACACCAGUGGCGAAGGCGGCUCACUGGUCCGGUACUGACGCUGAGGUGCGAAAGCGUGGGGAGCAAACAGG
rnacentral:rRNA from 1 species